GAUAUCAACUGAAAAAGUCAUCAACAACAAAGUUGAAUAACUCAUCAAGAUCUAAAACUUUUAUUUUGGUCAUUUCUUCAUACGAUAAAGUGAUAGUAACAUUGUUAACAAAAUUGACAUAUCUCUUAUCUGGUUUUAUAAACUAUAACACAUAUAUGUAAAAUUUGUGAAUAAUAUUACUAACAUUUCGUCGGAUGAAGAAAUAACAAAAGUAAAAGUUUUAGAUCUUGAUAAGUUAUUCAACUUUGUUGUUGAUGAGUUUUUCAAUUGAAAUC
rfam:Oryza sativa (indica cultivar-group) chromosome 8, whole genome shotgun sequence.